rnacentral:rRNA from 1 species
CGGCGUGCCUAACACAUGCAAGUCGAGCGGUCCAGCACUCAAGCUUGCUUGGGUGCUGGGUAGCGGCGAACGGGUGAGUAACGCGUGGGUGACCUGCCCGGGAGACUGGGAUAACAGUUCGAAAGGGCUGCUAAUACCGGAUGAUCCCCAGCACUCAACCGAAGGAAUUAGGCUUGGUUUUAGAGGAAGCUUUCUUGGUAGGUUCAAUGAGGUUUUUUCUAUGGUACAGCCUGGUUUUUUGGGUUGAGUGCUGGGGCAAAGCGUUUAGCGCUCCUGGAUGGGCCCGCGUCCCAUUAGCUAGUUGGUGGGGUAAUGGCCUACCAAGGCGGCGAUGGGUAGCCGGUCUGAGAGGAUGGUCGGCCACACUGGGACUGAGACACGGCCCAGACUCCUACGGGAGGCAGCAGUGGGGAAUUUUGCGCAAGUGGGGGGAACCCUGACGCAGCGACGCCGCGUGGGUGAUGAAGGCCUUCGGGUUGUAAAGCCCUGUUGGGGGGGAAGAUAAUGACGGUACCCCCUGAGGAAGCCCCGGCUAACUACGUG